UACGUAGGUGGCGAGCGUUGUCCGGAUUUACUGGGCGUAAAGGGAGCGUAGGCGGACUUUUAAGUGAGAUGUGAAAUACCCGGGCUCAACUUGGGUGCUGCAUUUCAAACUGGAAGUCUAGAGUGCAGGAGAGGAGAAUGGAAUUCCUAGUGUAGCGGUGAAAUGCGUAGAGAUUAGGAAGAACACCAGUGGCGAAGGCGAUUCUCUGGACUGUAACUGACGCUGAGGCGCGAAAGUGUGGGGAGCAAACAGGAUUAGAUACCCCCGUA
rnacentral:rRNA from 1 species